UCAAUCUUUUUUAUAAUGAAGAGAAGAACACAAACAAAAAAAGAGAGCAUAGAUACACACAAAAAGAAAAGCACGUGACAGUAAGGAAGAAAAGUGAUUUGAAGAUUAAAGAAAAAAAAUGGCUAUUCAACCAAAGUGAUCUCUCGUCUCUUUGAAAUUGAAGAAAACAGACCCCACUCUCUUGAAGAACCCCCUUUGUCACUCUCACCCCAAUAAAACCAUCUCUCUUGCGUAGGAACUAACAAUGGCACCCAAUUCCAAAGUUCGUUGGUCGCUAGCUCCGUUUGUUGCUCACUAAUUCCGUUCGAGUUGUCGACGAGGUUUCGAUCGUUGUGUUUUCAGGCGAGUUUUCAUUAUUGGGGUUCAUUUGGCGUCAUUCAGCUGUUGUAAUAUCACCGGUGGUUCUUGUUUCUUACUAAAGGUCCAACCUUUUACCUUAAAUCUUUGUUAUUUGUGUGCCUGCUCCUGCAUACAUUAAUGCUAUAUUAAUUGCGGAUGCCCCUUAUGUCAAAUGAAGUUCUACUUUCCUGCAUAAUAUUUUUUUUUUUUACUCAUGAAACUUUUCAAUUCAUUUAUGUUAUCAUCUUUAUUGGCAAAAUUAUAUACUAAUAUUUUGUUUCUUGACAACUGAAGUGC
rnacentral:lncRNA from 1 species